GACGAACGCUGGCGGCGUGCCUAAUACAUGCAAGUAGAACGCUGAAGGAGGAGCUUGCUUCUCUGGAUGAGUUGCGAACGGGUGAGUAACGCGUAGGUAACCUGCCUGGUAGCGGGGGAUAACUAUUGGAAACGAUAGCUAAUACCGCAUAAGAGUAGAUGUUGCAUGACAUUUGCUUAAAAGGUGCAAUUGCAUCACUACCAGAUGGACCUGCGUUGUAUUAGCUAGUUGGUGUGGGAACGGCUCACCAAGGCGACGAUGCAUAGCCGACAUGAGAGGGGGAUCGGCCACACUGGGACUGAGACACGGCCCAGACUCCUACGGGAGGCAGCAGUAGGGAAUCUUCGGCAAUGGACGGAAGUCUGACCGAGCAACGCCGCGUGAGUAAAGAAGGUUUUCGGAUCGUAAAGCUCUGUUGUAAGAGAAGAACGAGUGUGGGAGUGGAAAGUUCACACUGUGACGGUAUCUUACCAGAAAGGGACGGCUAACUACGUG
rnacentral:rRNA from 1 species